GACGAACGCUGGCGGCGCGCCUAGCACAUGCAAGUCGAACGAGCGAGAGGAGGUUUCCUUUCUCAAGCGAGUGGCGAACGGGUGAGUAACGCGUGAGGAACCUGCCUCAAAGAGGGGGACAACAGUUGGAAACGACUGCUAAUACCGCAUAAGCCCACGACCCGGCAUCGGGUAGAGGGAAAAGGAGCAAUCCGCUUUGAGAUGGCCUCGCGUCCGAUUAGCUAGUUGGUGAGGUAAUGGCCCACCAAGGCGACGAUCGGUAGCCGGACUGAGAGGUUGAACGGCCACAUUGGGACUGAGACACGGCCCAGACUCCUACGGGAGGCAGCAGUGGGGAAUAUUGCACAAUGGGGGAAACCCUGAUGCAGCGACGCCGCGUGGAGGAAGAAGGUCUUCGGAUUGUAAACUCCUGUUGUUGAGGAAGAUAAUGACGGUACUCAACAAGGAAGUGACGGCUAACUACGUG
rnacentral:rRNA from 1 species